AAAGUUCCCAAAUACUCAAAUACCCCAUGUUUCUCUCAAAAAUUCAGUCUUCCCCCCAAAAUCUUUGUUUCCAUCACACACUCAUUCUCAUUUCCCCAUCAUGGAAGGCUUUUAAAUGUGGAAGCGUCGGCAAGAUCGAGAUGGAGGUUAACUACCCACUGCGAUCUCUGUCUGUUGUGUGGGUCAGUGCUGAUAGUCGCUGAUGUUUUUGUAACCGAACAACGAGUGAACGGUGGUUAGGGUUGAACAUUCGGACGAAAUAAAGGGUGUCUUGUGUGCAAGAAGAAGAUGGCAACUCCUCUCUCAAAACACUUUCUGGAUCUUGUCCUGCCCCAUUUAGAAAUCUUUUGGAAUAUGUUGUUAAUUUGAAGUUUGAUAAAGAGCCUUCUUAUGCAAAACUUUCGUUUGAUCUUCUGAAAGUAGUUAUUUUUCCUAAUUACAUGUCAAAUUGUGUGUUAAUUUGUUGGCCUGUUAUAUGGUAUUUGUAGGUUUAUGAAAAGAGCUCACAUCAUAGUACUUUGGUUGUUUGUUUGAAGUUGUGAAAAUGAAGCUCUUUAACGGAAGGUCUGUUCUUUUUACUUUAAUCAUAUAUGCAAUCAACAAUUGAACUGCCAUGCUUCAUUUCCAUUUUGGGUUAGAUUUCAACAUGUUAUUGUUGUUACUGCACAUGUGAUUUCUUAUUUCUAUGCACUUCUUAUAUUCACAUACUUGCCAUAUACUUGCCCCUUGGCCUAUGUAUGACCUCAUCGUAGAACAUGUAUCUUCCGAAUUGGUUUGUUCACUUGUUCUUCUCGUAUCCUAUGGCCAUAUAUAUAAAAAUAAAAGUUCACACAAUCGUCAUAUUACUGGUUAUCUUACAUUCAUAUGUUUUGAAUCCUCUUUUCUCUUACUCGAAAUGUCAAAAUGAGUGGUUCGAGUGGGUGUCAAACAUGUAAGUUUUUUAGUAUGGGUUACGGGUCAUGGUCGGUUGGGCUGACUAUUCACUUUUUUAGUCCAUUUCUUUUAACGUUUCAAUAGUUCAGGUGUUAAAUAUGAAUACUAAAACUGUUGUUCAUCUAUAGAUUUGAAUAUGAUUAAUGAAUUUGUACGUGAUACUUGUGAAUUUGGCUAUGAUGAAAGGUUGAUGGAUAAGCCAAAUAGUACAGAAUAGAAGUCUUCCUCCAUGGAAAUGCAGUAUAUAUAUAUUAUAAACUUGGAGGAUGAUGGUGGGGACAUGGUGCUACUCCUACACUAACUAUUUUUUUCUCAUAGUGUUAUGGUUAGAGACAGCGGCUUCCGGUAUGGCAUGGCCCGGUUCGUGUUGCUAUACAACUGGAAUUUGAUUUUCAUAGGGCUAUCUACAACCUCAACACCUUUUUGGUUAGUUGAAUGAACUUUUUCUCUUCUACGAUUCCGGUUGCAAGUAUGGAUUAAAGACAUUGGUUUGGGUUGAAAGUAUGAAGACGUCUGUCGGUUCGGUUCAGGAAGUUAUUGUAUAUCACUUUCAUCUUUAGAGUUAUAUGUAUUAUUGUGUUAUUGGAAAACUUUUGUAAUAUUGUGUUACUUUGAAACCUUUGUAUUUUGUAAUCUUGGGUCAUAUUAUAUUGGUUCUAAUUUAAUUUUGUUCUUUUUUGUA